CUCCCGGGUCCUUUCUUCUUGCACUUCUUCGCCGGGAUCUUGUUCUCUCGCCAACUACAUCUCAAUUUCCCUUCUCCCAACUUUGCCUGCCUUCUUGUGCUUCUUGAUCCUCUUCUCUUACGAUGGCGUCCUCUGAUCCGUCUCCAAUAUCCUCCACCGUCUCGAGUGGCGUUCUCUACCUCGUUCUUUUGUCCCCCACCCCGCCAACGCCGCCAGGUGUCCUGAAGCUUCUGCCACGCAGCAAAACCCCUUCUCCAACAUCGCUCCUCCCAAAGAGCAUCUUAGGGUUUUGCUUCUGUGACGAGAGCAAACCUGAAACCAUAUUUAACAACUUCUCAUUGCAGCAGCCCAACCCCAUCGCCACGGUCCUCCCCUCGCCGUAAGGGCCUUUGGUUUUCCCCGUCUCCAAGCAUCCCUCCACGGCCCCCUCCCCAGAACUCCCGCACCAAGUCGAUCAUGGCUCCCGUCCGGAGCCACCACUGGCCUCCAGCACCUCGUCCGGGCGGUUCCAACUUCCGAGGAGCUGGUCUGGGAUUUUGAGUGCCGUAAGGCGACCUCCGUGCCGACCCAAGGAAGGUUUCCUGGCUUGUGGGGAGCCAUCGACUUCCAGACGUCAGGAACGAGCCUGAGGUCUGGGAGCAGGCCUUAAUUGAAGGCGAGCGGUUCUAAGGCCUGGCUGCCCGUUUCUUAGGUAUGGAUGGUAUGGGACGGAUGUUGAGGGCAUUGAUGGAAUCCCCUCUAAUGGCUUCGGGCUUAUCGAUGCCCGGAAGGGUUGUGGUGGAGACUUUUUGGCUUCAUAAGAUGGCUAUUGUGGUAGCUCUGUUUGGUG